CCUGGCGGGCGGCGGCGCGCAGGGACCGCCCCCAGCCUGGCGCCGCCGCCGCCCGCCUCAGCCCAACAUGGCGAUGCACAACAAGGCGGCGCCGCCGCAGAUCCCGGACACCCGGCGGGAGCUGGCGGAGCUCGUGAAGCGGAAGCAGGAGCUGGCGGAAACACUGGCAAACUUGGAGAGACAGAUCUAUGCUUUUGAAGGAAGCUACCUGGAAGACACUCAGAUGUAUGGCAAUAUUAUUCGUGGCUGGGAUCGGUAUCUGACCAACCAGAAAAACUCCAAUAGCAAAAACGAUCGAAGGAACCGGAAGUUUAAGGAAGCUGAGCGGCUCUUCAGUAAAUCCUCAGUUACUUCAGCAGCUGCAGUAAGUGCAUUGGCAGGAGUUCAGGAUCAGCUCAUUGAAAAGAGGGAGCCGGGAAGUGGGACAGAAAGUGAUACUUCUCCAGACUUCCACAAUCAGGAGAAUGAGCCCAGCCAGGAGGACCCUGAGGACCUGGACGGAUCUGUGCAGGGAGUGAAGCCUCAGAAGGCUGCUUCUUCUACUUCCUCAGGGGGUCAUCACGGCAGCCAUAAAAAACGAAAGAAUAAAAACCGACACAGCCCGUCUGGCAUGUUUGAUUAUGACUUUGAGAUUGAUCUGAAGUUAAACAAAAAACCACGAGCUGACUAUUAGAAGACUCAUUAGUGCAGAAGCUUCCAGGCUGUAGAGCCCUGCUUCCCUCCUCCAACCUCACAAAGAUACAUAUCCCUCACCUGAGUGCGCGGCCAUCCACCUCUGCUUUCCCAGACCCAGUGCCUGUGACUCUGAAUAGUCUGUUCUGAAACGUGGUGACAAGUCAUUUCUGCAUAUGGAAAGGCUCAACAUUGCACCCAAAGCUGGUAACGUUACGGAGUUCUGGAGCAGAGGGAGAGAUAGGAUCUGCGAGAGCUGGCGAUGCCCAGCAGACCCCCUUCCUCACAGGGCCGGCCAGGCUGGGGAACUUGCCGAUUUGUUGAACUGUUACCUGCCUCUAGAGUGGUGCUCGAUCUCGGCUGCUCAUGGGAGUCAUCUGGGAAGCCUAAGGACCUACUGAUACCUGGGUCCCACCCCCAGAGACUCCGGCUGGGGGACAGUCUAGUGACUGGGAUUUCCGUCCAAAGAGUCCCUGGGAUUCUGAUAAGAAGCCAGGUUGAGAACCACUGCAUGAGGAGUGUUUGAUUGAAAUCCUAUGUUGCGAAUCAGUCUAGGGGUUAAGAUUUGGGGCCCCAUCUUUCCUUUGAUGCUGUCUAGUCAUAGUCCUUGACUUAGGCCCAUAUCUUUGUUAGAACAAAUAUGUUCCAUUGUGAUAAUAUUGGUAGAGCUGAAUACGGAUGGUGUCUGUUAGCAAAACGAGUCUACCUUGUCAGAUGUGCAAAAGCUUUCACUCCUGUUCUCAAAUAAACUUUUUUUUUUUUUUUUUUUUUGGACUCUGUGGCUAAUUAGAUGUCUUUGGUAGCAGAACUCUAAUGUCAGGGUUUUUAAGAAAAUAGUUUCUUAUAUUUAGAUUGUUCCUUAAAAAAAGAGAAAAACAAUUAUAAAGCUAAAAACCAUGGGGACCAGAAGACAUCUCUUCCCUCCUUUGUCAGUUUCUCUCCUUUCCUGGGAGAGAGAAGUGGGGCUUCCUGUGGUCUCCGUGGCCUAGAGGAGAGCACAGAGCAAACCUGAGAAUAUUUCUCUCAUAGUUUGACAUUUGCUUGAGAUCUGGUGGGAUUGCUCUUAAAAAGCUGUAUUAUGUAAAAACAUACCUGUGUAUAUGAAUACACACGUAUGUCUGUGAUCAUGGUUAGAGGUAGGCUGCUUGCUUUAUACUUAUUUUCUCUGUAAAGUUUUCAAUCAUUGAUUAAGGGACCUCCAAAGUUUUCCUGUAAGCUGGCCACAGACUGAGGAUAUUUAAGUCUCAAGAGACUGCUUAUGUUCUCUAAAUUGGGGAGGUUUAGGCAGAAACCCCAAGAGAUGCCUACCAUGCUUGUGAUAUUUGUCACUUUGGUUGUUAACUAAGUUUGUCUGACAAACUUACACGUGACCAGUGACCCUGCCAGAAUGGCUGCCAGGACCCCUUCUAGGCAGGCCUUCACCUGAUUAUUGGGGUUGGGAAUAGUAUUUUGCUUUAGGCCUUUAGCCUUCUCAUCUCCACAAUGGGAAGAAGUUGUCCUUCGCUCCUGUUGGUGGUUAUAAGACAUUUAAAAAAAUCCAGGCCCUUGGAAGUUCUAUUUCAUGUCUUCUUCUGGGACGAUGGUUACUGUACAUGGCUCCUGAGGGAGUCUUAAGUAUGCUUGCUCUUCCAGGGGCUGAGGAAAUCGUUUAUUUUGUUGAAACGCCAAAUGUUCUAAAUAGCAUCAUACCCUGCAACGGAAGAUGGAGAGCAGGGACAACCCGCAGAGGAGAAGACCAGCAGCACUGUGGGGCCAACGGGAGGGCCUGAGAGGGAAGGGCCGGUGUGGGCCAAGAGCACGGGCGUUCAGAGCUGCUGUCCGUGUCUUGGGGGCCUCCGGAGUGCUUUGAGAAAUGGAGCCUUUGGGUGCUCUAGAAUAGUCUGUAAGUAUCCUACAAGGAGGAUUGUCGAUACCUUGACCUGUGUGAUAAAUAAGGGAAUGGAAACAAGUAUUUAAAUGGCCUAACUUUGAAAGGAGUAAAUACGCUGUUCUGAAACACUGCGACUUAGUUUUUGCUUCUAUUCUGACUUCUCUGCCCCUCGGCCUCGCUCCCAACUACUGAGGCGUGACUGCGUGUAAAAAUGCACGUCUGCAGCCCGCUGCCAGGGCCACUGCACGGGGGCCGAGUGGAGCGUGCGCGCGAGCGUGCAUCUUUGUAUGCACGUCCUUCCCCGGCUGCUGCCCUGCUCGGGGCCUGGGAAGGUGCCUGAGGAGAAGGCACUGGGCCUCUCAUUCCUGUGUUCGUGUAAAUGUUACCGUGUCUGAAUUUUCCAAGUGAAUUGGGUUCAGGAUUGGAAACAAUUUUCACUUUGGAACACUCCAUCUGUAGAGUAAAAGUUUUCACUGCUAAGAUGGGCUGUGGUGUUGAUUCCGACCCCUGCUUCAGCACAGGGCGGUGGUCCCCAAGGAGGAGGGUGUGGAGGAUGGCCCAUGGCUUGGGAGGGGGUUGAGGGGGCACAUAUCAGGCCUUCAAUUUGUAUGUAUUUUCUGACUUAGCCUUUUUUAGUUGUCACUUUGUGUUAUAUAACAUACAUAAAUAUUCAUUAGUACAUGUAGAUACUUGAUAAAUAAACGUUAGGUUGAACCACAAGCAGUUGCUGCACUUCAGCCGUUUUGAUCUUCAGAACGGGCAUUUAUCCUGAUUUAACAACAUAUA